rnacentral:rRNA from 1 species
UCGGAUUGCAGGCUGCAACUCGCCUGCAUGAAGUCGGAAUUGCUAGUAAUCGCGGAUCAGCAUGCCGCGGUGAAUACGUUCCCGGGCCUUGUACACACCGCCCGUCACACCAUGGGAGUUGGAAGCGCCCGAAGCCUGUGACCUAACCGAAAGGGAGGAGCAGCCGAAGGUGAAGCCAGUGACUGGGGUGAAGUCGUAACAAGGUAGC